CACGAGAGAACUUGCCACUUAGUUUUGUUAAAUCAAAAUAACCAAAGAUUGUAUCGCUAAGGUGAUAGGCGUCUUCGUUAGGAGUUAGGUAGUUGGUGGGGUAAAGGCCUACCAAGCCCACCGAUCCUUAGCUCGGUCUGAAGAGGACGAACAGCCACACUGGGACUGAGACACGGCCCAGACUCUUUUAGAGGCAGCAGUACGGAAUAUUGGGACAAUGAGCGAAAGCUUGAUCCAGCAAUACCACGUGGGUGAUGAAAGUUUUUCAACUGUAAAAACCCUUUCGAGUAGAGAUGAUGA
rnacentral:rRNA from 1 species